rnacentral:rRNA from 1 species
UAGGGAAUCUUCCGCAAUGGGCGAAAGCUUGACGGAGCAACGCCGCGUGAGUGAUGAAGGUCUUCGGAUCGUAAAACUCUGUUAUUAGGGAAGAACAAAUGUGUAAGUAACUAUGCACGUCUUGACGGUACCUAAUCAGAAAGCCACGGCUAACUACGUGCCAGCAGCCGCGGUAAUACGUAGGUGGCAAGCGUUAUCCGGAAUUAUUGGGCGUAAAGCGCGCGUAGGCGGUUUUUUAAGUCUGAUGUGAAAGCCCACGGCUCAACCGUGGAGGGUCAUUGGAAACUGGAAAACUUGAGUGCAGAAGAGGAAAGUGGAAUUCCAUGUGUAGCGGUGAAAUGCGCAGAGAUAUGGGGGAACACCAGUGGCGAAGGCGACUUUCUGGUCUGUAACUGACGCUGAUGUGCGAAAGCGUGGGGAUCAAACAGGA